rnacentral:pre_miRNA from 7 species
GUCCUGAUCCUCUGGCCUCCACCUUCCAAAUGCUGGAUUAUAGGCACAUGUUGAAAGAACCUAGUGGGGAAACCCCCACUCAGCUCCCGAUUCGGCGUGCACCCAAGAAUCACGAAUAGAACA